rnacentral:rRNA from 1 species
UUCUAAAUCCUCCUUUAGACAACAUUUCAUUUUGUCGUUCGUUUUCGCUGAAUAGCGAAUGUAGCCCAUUUCUUCCCCUUCCAUGCACUACACCUCGACCUAACGUUUUAGGCUGGUGCCAAUUUUGCUUACUAUUAGCCCUUCACAGGGUAAACUGACGACGGUGGUAUAUAGGCGGAAAAAGGCAGGAAGGGUGAGGUUUAACGGGGGUUAUCGGUUCUAGAACAGGCUCCUCUAGGUGGAUCUAAUCCUGAUCCAACAUCGAGGUCGUAAACC